AUGAAUAAUGCUUUGCUACCUCCUUAUUCGGUCGAAGAGGUCAAGAAAGCAUUGUUCGAUAUUGGCGAUCUGAAGGCCCCAGGACCGGAUGGCUUACAUGCGAUAUUUUACAAGAGGUUUUGGCCCUUGCUUGGAGAAGAUCUUGUUGAUGAAGUGUUGAAGGCCGUCAAUUCAGUAAAUUCUUUGGAGAAAGUGACUCAGUUCCGACCUAUUAGCCUAUGCAAUGUUGUUUACAAGAACAAGAGAGAUGGCCAUAAUGGUUGGUGUGCGGUGAAGAUGGACAUGCACAAGGCAUAUGACCGAGUUGAAAGGCCGUUUCUGGAAGUACAGUAG
rnacentral:rRNA from 1 species